AACGAACGCUGGCGGCAGGCCUAACACAUGCAAGUCGCACGAACCUUCGGGUUAGUGGCGCACGGGUGCGUAACACGUGGGAAUAUACCCUUAGGUACGGAAUAACGUCUGGAAACGGACGCUAAUACCGUAUAAUGACUCCGGUCCAAAGAUUUAUCGCCUAAGGAUUAGCCCGCGCCUGAUUAGUUAGUUGGCGAGGUAACGGCUCACCAAGACAAUGAUCAGUAGGGGGUCUGAGAGGAUGAUCCCCCACACUGGGACUGAGACACGGCCCAGACUCCUACGGGAGGCAGCAGUGAGGAAUAUUGCGCAAUGGAGGAAACUCUGACGCAGCCAUGCCGCGUGAGUGAUGAAGGCCUUAGGGUUGUAAAGCUCUUUCAAUAGUGAAGAUAAUGACGGUAACUAUAGAAGAAGCUCCGGCUAAAUUCGUG
rnacentral:rRNA from 1 species